AGAGUUUGAUCAUGGCUCAGAUUGAACGCUGGCGGUAUGCUUAACACAUGCAAGUCGAACGGUAACAGUCCCUCACCUAGAAAUUUCUUAAAAAGAGAUUUGUAGGUGAGGGAGCUGACGAGUGGCGGACGGGUGCGUAAUGUAUAGGAAUCUGCCUAGUAGUGGGGGACAACUCGGAGAAAUUCGAGCUAAUACCGCAUAAGCCCUACGGGGGAAAACGGGGGAUCUUCGGACCUCGUGCUAUUAGAUGAGCCUAUAUUAGAUUAGCUUGUUGGUGAGGUAAUGGCUUACCAAGGCGACGAUCUAUAGCUGGUCUGAGAGGAUGAUCAGCCACACUGGGACUGAGACACGGCCCAGACUCCUACGGGAGGCAGCAGUGGGGAAUAUUGGACAAUGGGCGAAAGCCUGAUCCAGCAAUACCGCGUGUGUGAAGAAGGCCUGAGGGUUGUAAAGCACUUUCAAUUGGGAGGAAUACCUAAUAGUUAAUACGCUAUUAGAUUGACA
rnacentral:rRNA from 1 species